rnacentral:rRNA from 1 species
UACGAAGGUGGCAAGCGUUGUUCGGAUUUACUGGGCGUAAAGGGAGCGUAGGCGGUUUGGUAAGCCCUCCGGGAAAUCUCCCGGCCCAACCGGGAAAGGUCGGAGGGGACUGCUAGGCUAGAGGGCGGGAGAGGAGCGCGGAAUUCCCGGUGUAGCGGUGAAAUGCGUAGAGAUCGGGAGGAAGGCCGGUGGCGAAGGCGGCGCUCUGGAACGAUCCUGACGCUGAGGCUCGAAAGCGUGGGGAGCAAACAGG